CUCUGAUCCAGACCUACAGGGAGCGUGAAAUGCGGACGAGACCGCGAGGGCUCCGUGCCAAAGAAGAGUGUCGAACAUCGCGCCGAUGUUUUUAGGUCAUGAUGUCUUCAUCGGUGUUCAGAGGAGGCCAGCUGGGCCACACAGCAGCAGCCUGAUGACUCCGAGUGAGCCGCGGCCUUGGGUCUGGACAUCUUCUUGCCAUGCAGUGCCAUUGGCUAAGAGCCCCUCGUUGGCAAGGCAUCGAGAAUCCAUCUCCUUAAGGCCUGGCGCUGGCACGGUAUUAGGCUAAGAAAUAGAAAUGAACCACCACCACCAAAAACAAAUAAACUAUAUGGACUGACACUCAAGAGUCCUGGGGUAUGGGCUGAAGAUAAUCCACCUGGGCUGGCUAUAAAUCCAACACCAGCGAUUGUAAAACUAAAACCAAGGGCACCCCCUGCCCUGAAAAGCCAUCCAAGACAUUCAAGGACAUUUAAAGUGUCUUUUAAAACAUAAAAUCUUG
rnacentral:lncRNA from 1 species